AUUGAACGCUGGCGGCAUGCUUUACACAUGCAAGUCGAACGGCAGCACAGGGAGCUUGCUCCCGGGUGGCGAGUGGCGCACGGGUGAGUAAUACAUCGGAACGUGUCCUGUUGUGGGGGAUAACUGCUCGAAAGGGUGGCUAAUACCGCAUGAGACCUGAGGGUGAAAGCGGGGGAUCGCAAGACCUCGCGCAAUUGGAGCGGCCGAUGCCCGAUUAGCUAGUUGGUGAGGUAAAGGUUCACCAAGGCGACGAUCGGUAGCUGGUCUGAGAGGACGACCAGCCACACUGGGACUGAGACACGGCCCAGACUCCUACGGGAGGCAGCAGUGGGGAAUUUUGGACAAUGGGGGCAACCCUGAUCCAGCCAUGCCGCGUGCAGGAUGAAGGCCUUCGGUAUGUAAAGCUCUAUCAGCAGGGAAGAAAAUGACGGUACCUGACUAAGAAGCACCGGCUAAAUACGUG
rnacentral:rRNA from 1 species